rnacentral:rRNA from 1 species
AUUGAACGCUGGCGGCAGGCCUAACACAUGCAAGUCGAGUGAGCGGCGGACGGGUGAGUAAUGUCUGGGCAACUGCCUGAUGGAGGGGGAUAACUACUGGAAACGGUAGCUAAUACCGCAUACCAUCAGAUGUGCCCAGAUGGGAUUAGCUAGUAGGUGGGGUAACGGCUCACCUAGGCGACGAUCCCUAGCUGGUCUGAGAGGAUGACCAGCCAAACUGGAACAGAGACACGGUCCAGACUCCUACGGGAGGCAGCAGUGGGGAAUAUGGAACAAUGGGCGAAAGCCUGAUGCAGCCAUGCCGCGUGGGUGAAGAAGGCCUUCGGGUUGGAAAGCACUUUAAGCGCGGAGGCGUUACCCGCAGAAGAAGCACCGGCUAACUCCGGGCCAGCAGCCGCGGUAAUAC